rnacentral:rRNA from 1 species
UAGGGAAUCUUCGGCAAUGGACGAAAGUCUGACCGAGCAACGCCGCGUGAGUGAAGAAGGUUUUCGGAUCGUAAAACUCUGUUGUUAGAGAAGAACAAGGACGUUAGUAACUGAACGUCCCCUGACGGUAUCUAACCAGAAAGCCACGGCUAACUACGUGCCAGCAGCCGCGGUAAUACGUAGGUGGCAAGCGUUGUCCGGAGUUAUUGGGCGUAAAGCGAGCGCAGGCGGUUUCUUAAGUCUGAUGUGAAAGCCCCCGGCUCAACCGGGGAGGGUCAUUGGAAACUGGGAGACUUGACUGCAGAAGAGGAGAGUGGAAUUCCAUGUGUAGCGGUGAAAUGCGUAGAUAUAUGGAGGAACACCAGUGGCGAAGGCGGCUCUCUGGUCUGUAACUGACGCUGAGGCUCGAAAGCGUGGGGAGCAAACAGG